UCCUCUCCCAACUUGCUUGCUCCAGGCAUCUCCUGCAGAUGCCUCCAGUCCCUCCUUUUCUCUGUUCUUAACUUGUGGUUGGGUGUAAUUGAGCCCAUCUGUGGUGGGACUCAUCCCCGAUGCCCCGGGCGCACCUUUGAGCCCUGGAUAACAGGGUGCCCAUGCAGGCAUCGCCUGUCCAUUACUGGUUGCUUCUAACAACGUUGCCAGCAGAGCUCUCCGAAAAGGAUCCUUAUUCAAGGGCCCAGAAAAGCCACAUCAGCUAUGACAAACUUCAGCAGUAGCUGUCACUUGCUUCCAGCGCAGGCAGAGCUCUCGUCUAGAGCAAUCCCCGAUGGGUCUCUCUUCUGUACAAAACACCUUUUAUGUUCUGAUCUUCAAAGCUACGUGCUGGUUUUCUGGAUGCAGGCAAAGGGAACUGUGGAUGCUGGAUGCUGUGCGUGUCUGCAAAUAAGGCCACUGUUCUCUUUCCUCCAGAUUCAAGUGCUACGCUUAGAAUUAACAUUUGAAAAGACAGUGAAGUGCUAAACAAAGGGGUCUGUGGUAUAAUGUUUGAGCUGUGCAUUCGUUUGUUUUUUCAGAAUGAUAGUAAAGAAAGAGGGAAGGAGUGAUGACAAAGAAACUGCACAUAAGAAAAAAACAAAACCCAUGAAAACCACUGGGAGUCAAACUGACAUCAAAAUUGAAGAGGGCAUCCAGUGUGAAUCACAAGCGAAACCUAAGGUGAGGGAAAAGAAACGUUUGGCAAAAAAGAAGGAUUCAGACUGGGUAAAUUCUAAGAAAAAGAAAGUUGGCUCCAAGUCUAAGAAAAAAGCAUGUUUUGAAAACUCUGUGAAUGUAGAAAGCCAUCCAGAUUCCCAACCACUAACAAAAACAGAAGGAAAAACUAAAUUUCUCAAAAAGAAGAAAAGGAAAGACAAAGGUCUUUACUUCUUACCACUGGAGAGCGGUCAGAACUGCAGCCCAGGACUGAAAAACUACACAGCAGAUAAUCAGGAAAAUGUAUUCACUGGUAAAGAACCCAGAAAGACUAUCACCCGGAAGUCUGAAGGGGACAGAAAGGUAACCAAAAUGAAGAAAAAGAAAAAAGGCAAAGAUACUUUCUCCUUAACUCUGAAAUAUAAUGAAAGCAGUGAAUGUCACAUUUCUAGUAAAAAACUGCAAAAAAAUUAUAUAAACAAUUCUCAGGAAAAAAUCACUCGUAAAAAACACAGAAAAGAGAUUGUCCAGAAUGAUGAAUCCGGUAGUAAUAGACGGAAGAAAAAAAAGAAGAAAAAGAAAGAUAAACACACCUCUCUACUAAAAUUGAAAGGUAAUGUGGACAAUAAUCAUGGGACUUCUAAUCACAACAUCCCAGUGGGUGACUUGAAAAAUAAGCAAGACAUCAGUUCCCAGGAAAGUACACCUGUAACGGAGAGAGAGAAUAUUGUCCAGAACUCUGAAAGUGACAGAGACGUCACCAAGAAGAGCAAAACCAUUUCUUUGCCAGCAGGUGAGGAUAAUCAGGACCACACUUCUAGCACCCCCAAUAAAUACCUAUCAAGACACCAAAAAGACAAGUUCCAAGAUAAAGUACUCACUGGAAAAAAACGCAAGGAGAAAUCUGGAGGCAAGAGUGCAAUAAUCAAGAAAAAGAAAAAGAAGAUUCAUAAGGAGGAGCAGGAAGUAGCUAAGUGUGUAACUCCUUCAGAUGUUGAAAAGGAUGCAUCCAUGGGUGGAAAAGCCACACCAGUUAAAAGUAAUAAAAAGAAGAAAACCAAAACGAAGGCAGUGGAAGGUGCAGCAAUGGGCAGCACUGAUGGAGGAUCAUGUGAAACUAAUAAUAUGCCCUAUGAGGGGAAGAAACCCAAGAAGAGAAAGAAACAGGGACCAGAGACUUCAGCUGAAGAGCCAAGCAUGAAAAAGAAGACAAAGAUCAAAAUGAAGGAAGAAAAAACUGAUAGUGAGGCAGUGGAAUCUGAGAAUGAUGUAGCAGUUGUGGGGGAAAAAAAAGGAAACUGUGAUGAAAUAAAUAUAGACAAGUUGAGACGGCAAGCCCUGCAAGAAGAGAUCGACCGAGAAUCUGGCAAAACUAUGGGUUUGAGAAGCAAAGUGCAAUCUGACACCAAGUUUGGCCAGUGGAGCACAGCUGCUUUUGAAAGUUCAGAUGAAAAAGCAAAGUUCCUCAGACUCAUGGGUGGUUUUAAGAAGGGCUCUGCAUCAGUCCAAGAUCCACCAGCCAUCACAGAGAAGCCAAACAUGGCUUUGAGCAGGGAAGAGGAAGAAAAAUUAAAGCAGGCUCUGCAUAUGGAGUUUGAGAAAGCCAUGAACUUGAAGCACCACAGAAGAGUUGGCCUGGGAUUCCAACCUGUCAGCAAAAAAAUAUACAUAGACAAGCAUGCUUCUAGAUCUAUCAAAUUUGAGGACUAAACUGUGCAGUAUGAUGGAAGGGAUGAAAAUGCAGCAUGGAAACUCAAUUGUUACUUGCCACAGCUGUUUAUUUGGAAUAAGCUACGGAGCAUUGCAAACUUACGUUCAACACAAAAUUUGCAACUUUUGUCACAACCUCAAGUGAGGCAGUGACUGGAAGCCUCAGCGCACAUGGGGAUAGGGUCUUGCCCGAACACAGCCUGGAAGUCUUCUAGCAUGACUCCUUCAGCCAUAGCUGGGGACAGGUUAAAGUUUAAACUGGAAAUUCUGCAGCGGCUUAAAACUGAGGCACCAUAGGUCAGAAAGGUGACCUUUGCAGCAUCUCAUUCUGCUCUCUAUGGUCCAGCAGGAGAUGGCAGAGAGAGGUUUGGAGCUGAAAGGCACCCUUGAAGGUGUGAGAGAACUUCAGGAGCAUCUCUCAGAAGAGCACCCAGCUGCACGUGGGAUUGGAAAGCAUCACUGUCUUCCGUGGAGAUGCCAAAGCUGGAACUAGAUUUCAUGAGACCCAUUACAAAGGACAAUGAAAAAUCUAGAGGUCAGUGAAGAAGCCAGACUUACAAAAUCUAAAACAGUAUCAAACUGCAAGGUACUGUCUGUUGCCAAGAUAUGACAGCUCCUCUGAAGAAUCAAAGGUCUUUUAGGGAGACAAAGGCAGCACAUGAAAAAGGGGACAAAGCACCAGUUUCCUCAGUUUCCCUUCUACUGACUGCAAUGAGCCCUUCCAUCAUCUAUCUGUUCCCAGCACAAUGUCAAAUGAGAAGACACUCUUGAAUACCAGCUAGUCCCUUUAACUGGUCACCUACAUUAAUGAUAAAAUGGUUCGUUCGCUGGAAUAUUGUUUAUUUGUAUCCUGGGCAAAUGUUUUAUGGAGGUGGGGGAGGAUCACUGUGCAGAACAUUUUAAGAACGGGCAAUUUAAACUAAUCAUUUGAGAUGCAUGAUAUUCCAGUUAAUACAGAAACAAAAAUCUUCAGAAAAAUCAUUUGUCGUCAAAACAAUAUUACUAUUAUUCUUUUGUAGAGAGGUAGCUAAAGUACCAGUCUUAAAGUCAUAAGAAAUCAUUGUGUACUUCAGUUUGGUGAAAUAUGCUGAUAAAUGUUGCAUCAAUAGGAUCAUUAGAUAUAAAUUAUCAUAAUUAUAAAGCUACAUAAUAUGGCAAUAAAUAACAAAUAAACCAGCUCAUAUACUCUCAUGCUAAUUUAUAAAGCACCUUAUUAUCCAUACGAUU